GCGGACAUAGUUCAGUUGGGAGAACAUCGGCUUCCCACGCCGAAGGUCGCGAGUUCGAGGCUCGCUGUCCGCUCCA
rnacentral:tRNA from 1 species